rnacentral:rRNA from 1 species
CAGACGGCUCAGUAACACGUAGUCAACCUAACCUGUAGACGUGGAUAAUCUAGGGAAACUGAGGAUAAACCACGAUAGAUAACGGUGCCUGGAAUGGCCCAUUGUCCAAACAGUUUACUGCCACGGGAUGGGACUGCGGCCUAUCAGCUUGUUGGUGAGGUAAUGGCCCACCAAGGCUAUAACAGGUACGGGCUCUGAGAGGAGAAGCCCGGAGAUGGGUACUGAGACACGGACCCAGGCCCUAUGGGGCGCAGCAGGCGAGAAACCUUAGCAAUGUGCGAAAGCACGACUGGGUCAGUCCGAGUGAUUUCUGAUAAAGGAAUCUUUUGCCCGUCCUAAAAGCACGGGCGAAUAAGGGGUGGGCAAGUCUGGUGUCAGCCGCCGCGGUAAUACCAGCACCUCGAGUGGUCAGGACGAUUAUUGGGCCUAAAGCAUCCGUAGCUGGUUUUGCAAGUCUCCGGUUAAAUCCACCUGCUUAACAGAUGGGCCGCUGGAGAUACUACAAGACUAGGGAGUGGGAGAGGCAGACGGUAUUCGGGGGGUAGGGGUAACAUUCGCUGAUCAUUUUAAGACACCAAUGUAUAAGGCGGGCUGCCUGA